GAGUAAUGUCUGGGAAACUGCCUGAUGGAGGGGGAUAACUACUGGAAACGGUGGCUAAUACCGCAUAACGUCGCAAGACCAAAGAGGGGGACCUUCGGGCCUCUUGCCAUCAGAUGUGCCCAGAUGGGAUUAGCUUGUUGGUGAGGUAACGGCUCACCAAGGCGACGAUCCCUAGCUGGUCUGAGAGGAUGACCAGCCACACUGGAACUGAGACACGGUCCAGACUCCUACGGGAGGCAGCAGUGGGGAAUAUUGCACAAUGGGCGCAAGCCUGAUGCAGCCAUGCCGCGUGUAUGAAGAAGGCCUUCGGGUUGUAAAGUACUUUCAGCGGGGAGGAAGGUGUUGCGGUUAAUAACCGCAGCAAUUGACGUUACCCGCAGAAGAAGCACCGGCUAACUCCGUGCCAGCAGCCGCGGUAAUACGGAGGGUGCAAGCGUUAAUCGGAAUUACUGGGCGUAAAGCGCACGCAGGCGGUCUGUCAAGUCGGAUGUGAAAUCCCCGGGCUCAACCUGGGAACUGCAUUCGAAACUGGCAGGCUUGAGUCUUGUAGAGGGGGGUAGAAUUCCAGGUGUAGCGGUGAAAUGCGUAGAGAUCUGGAGGAAUACCGGUGGCGAAGGCGGCCCCCUGGACAAAGACUGACGCUCAGGUGCGAAAGCGUGGGGAGCAAACAGGAUUAGAUACCCUGGUAGUCCACGCCGUAAACGAUGUCUACUUGGAGGUUGUGCCCUUGAGGCGUGGCUUCCGGAGCUAACGCGUUAAGUAGACCGCCUGGGGAGUACGGCCGCAAGGUUAAAACUCAAAUGAAUUGACGGGGGCCCGCACAAGCGGUGGAGCAUGUGGUUUAAUUCGAUGCAACGCGAAGAACCUUACCUGGUCUUGACAUCCACGGAAGGUCUCAGAGAUGAGACUGUGCCUUCGGGAGCCGUGAGACAGGUGCUGCAUGGCUGUCGUCAGCUCGUGUUGUGAAAUGUUGGGUUAAGUCCCGCAACGAGCGCAACCCUUAUCCUUUGUUGCCAGCGGUUAGG
rnacentral:rRNA from 1 species